rnacentral:rRNA from 1 species
CCUACGGGAGGCAGCAGUAGGGAAUAUUGGACAAUGGACGCAAGUCUGAUCCAGCCAUCCCGCGUGAAGGAUUAAGGCCCUAUGGGUUGUAAACUUCUUUUCUUUGGGAAUAAAAGCGGUAUUCACAUCGCCUUGAAGGUACCAGAGGAAUAAGCACCGGCUAACUCCGUGCCAGCAGCCGCGGUAAUACGGAGGGUGCAAGCGUUAUCCGGAUUCACUGGGUUUAAAGGGUGCGUAGGUGGCUUUGUAAGUCAGCGGUGAAAGCCUGGAGCUCAACUCCAGAAUUGCCAUUGAUACUGCAGAGCUUGAAUCAAGUUGAGGUGGAUGGAAUAUUACAUGUAGCGGUGAAAUGCUUAGAUAUGUAAUAGAACACCGAUUGCGAAGGCAGUUCACUAAGCUUGUAUUGACACUGAGGCACGAAAGCGUGGGGAUCAAACAGGAUUAGAUACCCUGGUAGUCCGACGACCUAACGACUAGACAACUACGACAUAGUCGAUAUACUAGUAGUGUCGAGACGAAGACGUUAAGUUAGUCGACCGUAGGUAAGGUACGACCGACGAGUAGUUAAACGUUAAAGGUAAGUUAGACGGCGNGAGAGNGCGACGGACGACGACGAGGGAGGAGG